rnacentral:rRNA from 1 species
AACGAACGCUGGCGGCAUGCCUAACACAUGCAAGUCGAACGAGACCUUCGGGUCUAGUGGCGCACGGGUGCGUAACGCGUGGGAAUCUGCCCUGGGGUGCGGAAUAACUCGGAGAAAUCCGUGCUAAUACCGCAUAAUGUCUUCGGACCAAAGAUUUAUCGCCCUGGGAUGAGCCCGCGUAGGAUUAGCUAGUUGGUGGGGUAAAGGCCUACCAAGGCGACGAUCCUUAGCUGGUCUGAGAGGAUGAUCAGCCACACUGGGACUGAGACACGGCCCAGACUCCUACGGGAGGCAGCAGUGGGGAAUAUUGGACAAUGGGCGAAAGCCUGAUCCAGCAAUGCCGCGUGAGUGAUGAAGGCCCUAGGGUUGUAAAGCUCUUUUACCCGGGAUGAUAAUGACAGUACCGGGAGAAUAAGACUCCGGCUAACUCCGUGCCAGCAGCCGCGGU